UAAUACAUAAUAGAGUCGGUCGUAUGGUCGUUUCGCGUACAGCGGUCCCACAGUGACUUCAUAAACGGUAUUAGGCCUGAUAUCACGUCGCAACAAAUGCCAAUGUGUAACCAUGAAUGGAUCAUAUCUCGGGUCCAUUAUACCGAUAAGGUUUAAUCCUGGUUGGCUCACUCGACGGACAGCUCGCUUCAUCGAUGCAACUGUUACAAUACAGGGCAUUUCAGCUAAUUUUCCUGUUGUAAAUUGGCUGUAUCUUUGCCUCUGAGUGACCUAGGAGUUACGUAUUUUGUUUAUGGGAAUUCGGGCGAUACUCAAAUGUCAUAUUUAAAGGGCAAGGCCAUCCAAGGUCAUUGCGUUAUUUGACCUCUAACUGAUAUUUGAAGGUCAUUUUCUAAGAGUGCAAAAAUUUUUCAGAUCGGUUGAUGCUAGUGACAUGUUCGUAACUUAUUCUGGUCAAAAGAUAUGCGAGUUCAAACAUUGUUCUGUUGAUCAAUUGGUUUUAAGAAAAUGUAUUUAUCUUUCCAACGGUGUGAGAUACUAACUCGUAGUAAACAAAAACUGAAUUGAAGAUUUUUGCACUCUUAGAAAAUGACCUCCAAAUAUCAGUUAGAGGUCAAAUAAAGCAACGAUUUUGAAUGACCUUGACCUUAAAAUAUGACAAUUGAGUAUCGCAUAAAUUUCCAGUAACAAAAUAUCUAUCCUCUAGGUCACUUAGGAGCAAAGAUAUAGCCAAUUUACAACGGGAAAAUUAGCUGAAAUGCCCUGUAGAGAGAAUAAGGUAACAUUCAGUUUUAUGGAUCCUCUGGGCAUCAUCGAACCUGAAAAGUUAACGAAAAGAAAUUAAUUUAGAUAUUAAAGAAAUAAAAUUGAUUACAAUUAGAGUGAAAGAAAACAGAUGACCAUUAAGAAAAAGAAAGUACAGUCACCAUUGAGAUAAUGCACUCAUUUUUUCAAUGCCCCUAUUAAGGAGGAGUUAUAUCUAAUUUUGAAUUCGGUCAAAUUUUGAUUCGAUUUCUUUGAUUAUCAAUUGACUUAAUUCAAUUUUCUUUCGUGAAAUUUUAAUGCAAAAACUCGCAAAAUCAGAUUAAAGCAAAAUUCAAGGUUUUUGAUCUAAUAAGGAAGAUUGAAAAUCAUGGAUUACGCUGCCCGAAGAAUAGUGAAAAUAAGCUAUUCCCAGUGCGGUGCAUUAUAUCAAUGGUGACUGUAAAUGUAAAUUAAGCUUCUCAUCAUCAUCGCCAUCUAAUGAAAAAAGGAUUAAUUACAAGAGGAUAUUAAAAAUAGCGCCUUCAAGUUACAGCGUUGGAAAUGUUCUACUUUCAGAAGCUUUAUCAUUGAAAUUGAAUAAAUAUGAAAUUAAUAAUUGUAUAUUUCUUGGUUCCUAGUGAUAUUUAGUAUUUGUGAUUAACUAAAUUACCAACAUUAUCACUAAUACCAUAACCAUAUGAUUCUCACGAUAUCAAGUUAAGGUUAGAUGAAAAGAAGAUCAAAGGUGUUGACUUUGCUGUAUAUAAACGAUAUGUUAAUAAAGCAAUUUUAACACAGUUAAUUGGUCAAUUAUAAUGGUAAUGGUGAUUGAAUACGAGUGAAUAAAAGAUCUUUCAAGAUUAAAAUGAUUACAAUAAAUGUGUUUAAAUGAACAGUUGAUAUUGAAAGUGUUCACUGGAGUGAAAAAUAGUAGCCAAAAUGGGUAAGAAGUAAAGCAGAAGGAAGAAACUUGGAAAAAAGCUAAAGGCCUAAAGGAAAGCGAGGAAAAAAAGAAAAAAGUUGAAAUGGUUAAGCGCAAGAAGCAAAGCUUAAACUGGCUACCAAGGAAGCAAGGAAAGGGAAGAAACCAAGACGAACCUGAAAAGCAAAGUGAUGCAAAUAAUGAAACAAAUGAAGCUGAUUAUUAUUAUCAAAAUUAUUGCCAUUAAAUAGUGUAUUAAAGGUGGACAAAAGGAGUAACAAUAAGACAUGGAACCAAGGAAAAAGCAAGGAAAUUGUUGCAAACAAAAUGUACAUUAACAGUGGCAAAAGGUGUAAAAUGUUUAAAGUGGCAAGACAAAAAUGAUGCAAAGUUACUCGUACGUCAACGGCUUCAGGCAAACAAAAAGAUGACAUUCAAGUUGCUUAUUAACACUUGCCAUUGACUUUAUUUCUUUCCUUUCCUUCCAGAAGCUAAUUCCCAUUCAUUAUUGAUGUAUAAGUAGCAUUAUUAUGCCAAGUGACUAAACGAGUUGUUCAAAUGCCAUUCAAAUCGGACCUUACAAUCCUCAACUAAGAAGACCUUUUUUUGCUGUUGUGUCCUUCAUUGGUUCCUUUGCGUAUUAUUGUCAUCACCAUCAACAUUAUUAUUAUUAUUUUCAUUAUUAUUAUAAUCAUUUUGAUUUUUACUCUUAUAAUAAUAACAAAUGUUGAAAUGGAUCAGUUGAAAGAGCAUAUUAUGGAGAAGACUUUAUAACUUUUUUUGUGGUAUUUUGGGUUAACUUUUUCUUCUUCAUCUUCCUUUAGUGACUCUCUCUCUCUCAAUCUCUCGUUCCUUCAACUCUCUUCAUUCCCAGUCCACUUUAAGACUCUUGAACAUUCAUCUCUAUUGAACAAAGCGUAUGUUAAACCGAUUAAUAUACAGUUUUAACAAUCAAUAUUGAAGACCAUUGAGAGGAAAGCUAAAAAGUGACGAAUCAAAAGAAUGAAAAGAUUCAGCGAAAAGCUAAAGAAAAGGAAAAAUGUUGUUCAAUGUUGAAUAGGAAAUGAAAGGUGAUUAACUAUUACCAUUAUCAUUACCAUUAUUAUUAUUGUAAACGUGGCCUUAUCACGUCAAAUCAAGUUAACAAUAUUCAAAUCAACACCAAGUCAACAUCCAUUUUUGACUCUUUCAACUGCCAAUGAGCAUAAUGAUUGCCUAUUAUAUUACAAUAUAAUACAUUCCCAUUGUAAUAUUUUAUUGUCAUCAUUAAUAUUAUCACUAUUAACAUUUUGUCUUUCCAUUCACCUUUUCAUUGAAUCUCAUCUAACCCUGCUAAUUUAUAUGAAAGACCAGAUGAAAGGGAAAAGGUUAAAAGACAUCAACUAAUCAAUUAUUAAUAAAAUGGUUCAAUAAACCCGCUAAUCAAUUGCAAGGCUACUUAAUCAUUUAAUACACAGUGUUAAAUAAGGUUCAAUUUGAAUGGCAAUCUCAACAGUUGGAUCAGUUAUGAAGAGGAAAACAUUUGAUUUCAUUCAAUUCUCUAAUACAUUUUGUUAUUUCAAUUCUUUCUUCACAAGUGGUUAAAAUUGUCGCCUGAACCUGAAAAACUGUAAAACAUUGGAAAAGUGAAACAUUUUAAAAUGAAGGACCAACGGAUAAAAAGAAAGGCUAAAGAAUGCAAGUGACCACCUUAAAGAUUUUGAAAAAUGUUUCUUUUUCUGUUGACCGUCAACUUUUGUCCAUUCCCUUUUGUUUUCAUCAUCUGUAUACAUUCCCGAUUGUCUGCCUUGUCUAUCAUGACAACAACUUUUGUGGACUCAAUAGACUGCGUGGAACCUUGAAAUUGGCAAAAGUUUUCAUCCUUUCCUCUUCUUCUUCCUGGUCAUCGUCCGCCGUUAUUCAAAGAUGAUCAUGAAAAAGAAAGAGGAGGAAGAUAAAGAAGAAGAAAAUAAAGAGGACGAUAAAAGUUAGCAGGGUACAAGGUAUCGUGAAAAGAACACUAAUCCGAAGAGUAAAUAACUGAACAAAACAUUUUCGCUCAGCUCAUCUCAAUGUCACACUCAAUAUACACUUGGCUCAUUUCAACUCUUUUCAACCUUUCUUUUCUUCUUCUCCAAUAUCAUCAUCAUCUUCCUUGUCUUCAUCUUUUUCUUCUCCUUUGCACGAGUUGAGAGAGAAAAAGUGUGAAAAGUUAAAAGCUUUGCAAGUAUCAUGCUGAUAAAUGUUUUUAUUUUGGUUGGUGUUUUUUUCCUUCUCGCUCUUGUUUUGUUGACUUGCUAACGUCUUGAGAAACCUCUUUAUAAAAUUGACCAAUGGGCAAACAUUUUUACUCUGGUUACAAACGGUCUCUUAACAUAUUGACAAGUCAUUAUCGUUAGCCGUUGGACACUCACACAGCAACGAGAACAGGAAAAAUUGAAAAGGAAGCCAAAUUUGAAAGCUUGCACCAUUUGAACAACCCAAAACUUAAAGUCUAAAGUGUAUGUCAACUUGAAAAAAAGGUUGUUUCAUUAUAACAUUCGCUUUAUUUGAUUGUUAUUCAAAUUAUUUUGAUUGAAACCAAUCUUGAUGCAAAACCAAUUGAACCACAAUCAAUUGAUCCCUGAAAACGCUUAAAUUGAUUCCUUUCUUGUUGUUUAUGAUUGUUACACAUUUUGUCAAUGGAAACAAGUUAAUAUGAUAAAUAACUUUUAUCAUUAUUAUUAUUAUCAUUUUUGUAACCCAUAAAAGUGAUCAUUUUGCUGAGUUUAACAUUAAAUUGUUACACACGAAACAUUUAACCAAUGAAUAUUGAAUAACAUUGUAUGAAUGAACAAUUGAUAUUUUUAAAGUGAACCCAAUUGCAUUGAAAUGACACAACUAUCAUGAAAAAUCAUAAUCAUUUGCUUGAUUCAUUAUCAUUAUUAUUUUUAUCAUCAUUUCACUUUCCAACCAAUUUCAUUAUCCAGAUAUUAUUAAAUAUUAACCUUAAUGUUGAUCAUUAAAUAUGAACCUAGUAAAUAUGAUUAAAGAUGAUUAACUUGUCAAUCAAGUUAAACUAAUAUAUAUUUUGACUUUUCUUCAUCUUUUUAGAUGAAACAAUCCAAUCAAUCCAAGAGACCAAAAUAACUAUUAAUAAUCCCUUCCACUGAUUUAAUCAAUAGUUGAUUGACAGUUAUUAGUGGUUUUAUUGUACCAACAAUCAAAUUGAAUUGUUGAAUCUAAUCAUUAACUUCAAUUAAUCAAUUAUUCAAAGGAAACAACUACAAUUAAUCAAUAUUUUCUUCUCAUGAUUAACAAGCUGACUUGUAAAACAUUCAACUCGUUGAGACAUUUUAAUUAAACUAAUUAAACAAUGUGAAAGGAAACACUAAAUUUAAUUGUAGUCGAGUCUACUGAUUGUCCAUUUCAACUGGUUAAUUGAACACUUUGUUAUUUAUUAUUAUGAUUAUUAUUAUUGUAGUUGUAAUAAAAUUUGAUGAUCCAUGUUAAAAUGUUACUAUUAAUGUUGAAAGGAUGGAAAUACAGAAACACUUAAGGAUCCAUCAAUUUAUAUUAUUACAUUUUUUACUUGAUUGUUCAUCCUUUUGGUUCAUAAUUUACCAUCAACGUCAUUUCUGGUUGGUUUCCUUUUAACAGCAAUCAAUACAACAGUUACAAGUAAAAAGAGCAUCGUUUUCACAGUUAACAAUCAAAUUAUCAACGCAACAAUAGAGAACAAUAACCAAAUCAAUUGUUGAUCCAUUUACACUUCACUAACAAGGUAUCAAAAUCACUAUUGCUUCCUACCAAGCAAAGCCUAAUCUGCUACAUAAAUAUCAUUGUCCUUAAAAGCAUCACAAAGAGAUCAUAUUUUACCCUCUCUUUUAUGUUUAAUACAUUUUAGUUUAAAUUAAGCAACUGUGACAUUUUAAUUGUAAAAUUGCAUUUAUUAAUAAAUUAACCUUUUAACAAGGAGCUUAUAUUCAGAUCUUAAUUAAGAGAUGACCCCUUUUACCCCUUUUGUUUUUGGCGCUUCUUCAACAACCAGCUCACUUGGUUUUGGCUUUUUUGGGUUUUAGUUUUUAUUUUAUUUUGUUUUCUAAUUUUUUAAUUGUUAUUCAAUAGAUUUUUUGCCUAAAAUAUUAUUAGAAAGUGAAUGGGCCCAUAAAUUUCAGAUGGAUUGAUUUUUAGAAAAAUUUUGAAAAAAUGGGUAAAGGGAUACAAAAGAGGAUAAUGUUUAUCUCGACUUGCUGCCUCUAAAUAUUUGAUAUUUGGUCUGCUAAUUGAUCAACAGAACAUGAGUUAAUGGCUAAAAUUGAUAGGUGAAUGGCGAUUUUCAGCUUAUUUUGGUCUAUUUUAUUUUGAUGGUGAUUAUGUUGGACACGAAUGAAACAAAUUGAAUUUCCAUGGCAAUUUACCUGUGAUUUGACCAAGGGAUAGCUGAAACAUUUCAUUUGCUUUUAUUGUAAAGUGUAACUAUGAUUACUCUUAUCAAAGUGAUUUGUACACAAAACCUGGAAAGAAAGAUUGAGAGUAAAGGAAAGUCAAGGAAACAAACUUAGGUUUAUGCUAUUAUUUAGUCUUGUAAUAGAGGAGGAAAAAUAUUGUAAUAUCUGUCACCAUCAAGAUUCACAUAUGGUGCAUGAAUAUUGAAUCAAAUCAUCUUUUCCUUUUUUUGCACUUCUUUCUCUUCCCUUUAAUCUUGCCUGCAUCAUUUUACCUCUUCCUCCUCCUCCUCUUUCUGACUCUCAUCGUAAUCAUCAUCAUCAUCAUCAUUUUCAUCUUGAACAGAGGAAAGCCUUUAGUCUUAUAAUGAUAAUAUAAAUAAUAAUAUAAAUAAUAAAUAAUAUUCAAUAAUAUUGAA